AUGAACGCUAGCGGCGUGCCUAAUACAUGCAAGUCGAGCGAACAGACGAGGAGCUUGCUCCUCUGACGUUAGCGGCGGACGGGUGAGUAACACGUGGAUAACCUACCUAUAAGACUGGGAUAACUUCGGGAAACCGGAGCUAAUACCGGAUAAUAUAUUGAACCGCAUGGUUCAAUAGUGAAAGACGGUUUUGCUGUCACUUAUAGAUGGAUCCGCGCCGCAUUAGCUAGUUGGUAAGGUAACGGCUUACCAAGGCGACGAUGCGUAGCCGACUGAGAGGGUGAUCGGCCACACUGGAACUGAGACACGGUCCAGACUCCUACGGGAGGCAGCAGUAGGGAAUCUUCCGCAAUGGGCGAAAGCCUGACGGAGCAACGCCGCGUGAGUGAUGAAGGUCUUCGGAUCGUAAAACUCUGUUAUUAGGGAAGAACAAAUGUGUAAGUAACUAUGCACGUCUUGACGGUACCUAAUCAGAAAGCCACGGCUAACUACGUG
rnacentral:rRNA from 1 species